GUCUUUCAUGUUACCCUUUGUCC
rnacentral:piRNA from 1 species